rnacentral:rRNA from 1 species
UACGGGGGAGCAAGCGUUGUUCGGAUUUACUGGCGUAAAGGGCGCGUAGGCGGCCUCUGCAAGUCGACUGUGAAAUCUCCGGGCUUAACCCGGAAAGGUCAGCCGAUACUGCAGGGCUAGAGUGCAGAAGGGGCAACUGGGAAUUCUCGGUGUAGCGGUGAAAUGCGUAGAUAUCGAGAGGAACACCUGCGGCGAAGGCGGGUUGCUGGGCUGACACUGACGCUGAGGCGCGAAAGCUAGGGGAGCGAACGGG